GCCUACGGGGCGCAGCAGUGAGGAAUAUUGGUCAAUGGGCGCGAGCCUGAACCAGCCAAGUCGCGUGAGGGAAGACGGUCCUAUGGAUUGUAAACCUCUUUUGUCGGGGAGCAAAAGACGCCACGUGUGGCGUUCCGAGAGUACCCGAAGAAAAAGCAUCGGCUAACUCCGUGCCAGCAGCCGCGGUAAUACGGAGGAUGCGAGCGUUAUCCGGAUUUAUUGGGUUUAAAGGGAGCGUAGGCCGGUCUUUAAGCGUGCCGUGAAAUUUUGUGGCUCAACCAUGAGAGAGCGGCGCGAACUGGAGA
rnacentral:rRNA from 1 species